rnacentral:rRNA from 1 species
CCUGGUCCCAACCCGCAGUCCAACCACCCAAACCCUAACUGAGAUCCCACCGCUGCCCCCUUCUCCCUCCCAGAUCCAAUCCAAGUCAGAACCACUCGCCCUCCCGCCCCGACCUCCGUCUCCAUUCUUGCGUGCGUCGGCCACCUCCCUCCGGCGGGGCUCGAGCCACACCCCCCAAGCGCCGCUGCUCCACCCUCUCCCGUGCCCAUCCACUGCACGCAUCGUCGGACUCACCAUCCUCCGCUGCACCGUGGAGAUGGGUGCGUCUGUGUCCACCCUCUCAGUGGAGGCAUAGGGGCGCCGCGGCGGUGAUGGGGAACAAGAUCGCGUUGCCAAAUCCAUCCACCGAAUCCUUGAAACCCUAGCAGCGAAAUUGACUCGAUCGAAAAAGUUCUUCAUCUUCCUUGAUUUGGUGCUGAUUUGUGGUUUGUUGGUGCGCGUGCAAGAGGAUGUGAUGGUGGAUAGGACGCCCAAGGAGUGGGAGGCCAGGCUGAGGUAGCUCGAGUUCGUGUAGCAGGCGGCCGCGCAGGCUGUCUUGCUGGUCACCGUGGCAUACGCGUAUGCCAAGCAGGGCACCGGCCCACUCCGCCCCGGCGUCGACUACGUCGAGGGGACCGUCAAGGCCAUCGUCGGCCCCGUCUAUGACCGCUACCACGCCGUGCCGCUCAAUCUCCUCAAGUUCCUCGACCACAACGUCGGGAGCGCCAAGGUGCACCUCACGCGCGGUGCUGCUGGCAAGAAGGACAUGGGUGAGGCCUUCUUCAUCUUCAUGGGGAGUUCCGCAAGGAGUUCAAGUAGAAGAACCCCAAGAACAAGUCUGCCACUGCUGCAAAGCAGCCGGUGGGAGGUGGAAGAGCUUGAGCGAGUCGAUCAUGGUGUACCAGCUUUGCAAGGGCGUUGCUUUUUGCCACGGACGCGGUGUCCGGCACCAUGACCUUGAGCCACACAACCUACAAAUUGGUGGAUGGGUUGGUAUCAUCUGGUUUGAUCCCAGCAAGAGGAAGUAUUCUCUUCUCUUUAUCAACCAAAGGCAUUUUCUUCUCUCAUGGAUGGAUGGGACUCCAUCAAUUUAGUAUCAGUUUAGGUGUUAGUAUGUUGUUGAUGCUUCUGUUGAUGCCAUGCUUUUUGUCUUGUAAUGUGCUGAUAUUAACUGGCAGCAUUAGCUCCCAUGAUUGCUUGCUUGCUUGCUUACUCUAUAACCUGUACUGAUAAAACAUGUUAUCCUACUCCAUGAUGCUAUAUCAUUUGCAAAUACUCCUGGACAUCAGCUCCCAUGAUGUUGCAUUAGCUAUAAUUUGUACUGCUAAAAGAGGAGUGUAAACUGGAGUAUUUUUUUCAGCCAUUAUCUUUGCUUUCUUUUGGGCGGAUGCUCUCCACUGGAGUACCGCUGGGUACUGCAUCUCUUUGCAUUCCUUUUUCAGUCAGUGCUUGAACAUUUUUUUAAAGAUGAAUUGGAAUACUCCUGGACAGUAGUACAUGGAGUUAGCUGUAACUUCUUGCAGUAUUAGCUAUAGCAGUCCAUUAGGAGUAGUUUUGCAUUAGUAGCAUUAGGAGUAACUUCUUGCAGAAACUCAUUUGACACAUAUUGUCAUGCAUCAGUAGCAUGUUUGCUUGUCUUGCCUUAUUCUAUGGCUUGGUGUGGGCGGGUGCAGACACGGAGGGGUUCUACAUGGAGGUUCAGGAGAAGAUCUCGCUAGGUACGACAACGUGUUCAACUGGUCCCUCAAGGCCAAUAUGAUGGGUGAAAAGGCCACCGAGUUGGCGCACAACUUCAUCGACGAGUGCGGCCUCGCUAGCCUGCUCACCCCGGAGCAGUUAGUCGAGGAGCGCGAGGGCAUGCUGCAGGAGCUCUUCCCCUCCUGCGCCGUCUUGCCUGAUGAUUUCCUUCAUUCAUGUUUCGAUGUGAGCUCUAGGUCGAAGUUGGAAGAAGACAUGCAGGAUCUAGGCAUGCAUGCAUGCUCUCUUAUCCCUGCUUAUGCUCCUUAGGAGAUGUGAAUUUCUGGGACUUUUGAUGUACUCCCAGCAUUUAUCUUUUCUCUUAUCUGUGGUCUGGUGUCAUAUUAUGGUCUAAUAUUUUUUGUUUUGACUCUUUUUUUGGUGCGAGGAAAGCUGUGAGUAGACGUCAAAGAUUCCUACUUGCUUGGCUGCUACAGUGAUGCAUGUGCCGGUCAAGCAAGCACAAGCAUAUACGUACAUGUUAGGAUAGUAGCAGAUAUUCCCUCUGUUCCUGCUAUAUUCCUGUGUAAAUGUAUUUCUAAGAUGAUUUUGUUGUGUUAUGUAAACCUAGGAGAUGUGUUAUGUGAUGUGAUAUGAUGGAUGAUUUGAAUUCGACAUGGAGUUUUGCUGAUUUGAAUAUGAAACAAUUUUGUCC